rnacentral:rRNA from 1 species
UACAGAGGUCUCAAGCGUUGUUCGGAUUCAUUGGGCGUAAAGGGUGCGUAGGUGGCGCCGUAAGUCGGGUGUGAAAUUUCGGAGCUCAACUCCGAAACUGCAUUCGAUACUGCGGUGCUUGAGGACUGGAGAGGAGACUGGAAUUCAUGGUGUAGCAGUGAAAUGCGUAGAGAUCAUGAGGAAGACCAGUGGCGAAGGCGGGUCUCUGGACAGUUCCUGACACUGAUGAGCGAAAGCCAGGGGAGCAAACGGG